rnacentral:rRNA from 1 species
AACGAACGCUGGCGGCGCGCCUAAUACAUGCAAGUCGAGCGAGAAGACGUAGCAAUACGUUUGUAAAGCGGCGAACGGGUGAGGAAUACAUGGGUAACCUACCCUCGAGUGGGGAAUAACUAGCCGAAAGGUUAGCUAAUACCGCGUACGCUCCUUGGACUUCGGUUCAGGGAGGAAAGCGAUACCGUGGGUAUCGCGCUCUUGGAUGGGCUCAUGUCCUAUCAGCUUGUUGGNGAGGUAACGGCUCACCAAGGCUUCGACGGGUAGUUGGUCUGAGAGGACGAUCAGCCACACUGGCACUGCGACACGGGCCAGACUCCUACGGGAGGCAGCAGUAAGGAAUAUUGCGCAAUGGGCGAAAGCCUGACGCAGCGACGCCGCGUGGGGGAUGAAGGUCUUCGGAUUGUAAACCCCUUUCGGGAGGGAAGA